GUCUCUGUGGCACAAUCGGUUAGCGCGUUCGGCUGUAAACUAAAAAGGUUGGUGGUUCAAGCCCACCCAGGGACA
rfam:Danio rerio unplaced genomic contig CTG6325, GRCz11 reference primary assembly.